rnacentral:rRNA from 1 species
UACGGGGGGGGCAAGCGUUGUUCGGAAUUACUGGGCGUAAAGGGCUCGUAGGCGGCCAACUAAGUCAGACGUGAAAUCCCUCGGCUUAACCGGGGAACUGCAUCUGAUACUGGAUGGCUUGAGUUCGGGAGAGGGAUGCGGAAUUCCAGGUGUAGCGGUGAAAUGCGUAGAUAUUAGGAGGAACACCGGUGGCGAAGGCGGCUGCCUGGACCGAUAUUGACGCUGAGACGCGAAAGCGUGGGUAGCAAACAGG